rnacentral:rRNA from 1 species
UCAAUCUCGUGCGGCUAGAAGCCGCCUGUCCCUCUAAGAAGAUAAAUAUAUACGCCGACAGUAAAAACCGAGCACGGCCACAGCCCGAAGACCGGACCGGCUGGCCUUUGAGAUGUCGGAGAAACGCCUAGUUAGCAGGCUAGAGUCUCGUUCGUUAU